rnacentral:rRNA from 1 species
CGUGUAGGCUGUUCCGCAAGUCGGGUGUGAAAGCCCUGGGCUCAACCCAGGAAGUGCACUCGAAACUGCGGAACUCGAGUCCUGGAGAGGAAGGCGGAAUUCUCGGUGUAGAGGUGAAAUUCGUAGAUAUCGAGAGGAACACCGGUGGCGAAGGCGGCCUUCUGGACAGUGACUGACGCUGAGACGCGAAAGCGUGGGGAGCAAACAGGAUUAGAUACCCUGGUAGUCCACGCCGUAAACGAUGGGUGCUAGGUGUCGCGGGCUUUGACCCCUGCGGUGCCGUAGCUAACGCAUUAAGCACCCCGCCUGGGGAGUACGGCCGCAAGGCUAAA